CUCUCGGCCGCAUCUCUCUCUCCCCCGAGCUCUUGCACUCUCUCUCUCUUCUUCCCUCUGCAGACGCCGGAAAACCCUAUCUCUGACCACCACCUUGCAAAACUACCACCGCCCAUCAAUGCAGCACCAAGAUACGACCCAAACCCAAGAGAAAUCGAAGCCAUGCAUCGACCCCAACCUCUCUCUUCCGUUCUCCUUCUCUCUGACACCACCGGAGACUCCAGCUCCGGCCACCAUCUCAUCACACUGCCUCCACCGGUCGACGCAACACCCAAACCCGACCAUAACCCGAGCCUUACCGCACACAUGCAUCGCCUCCAGCCUCCGCACAUGUUCCUCAAAGCAGCGACGCCACUGCUCGUUGGCUUUCCUUGAUUUCCGGCCAUCAGCUCACCACACCGCCAUCACUUCUCGACUCAGAACUCGCCGGACGUCUAAACCUUGAAUCCCUAUUGACUGCCGAUGCCGGAAAGCACCGUACACGUCUUAUGCCGGAGUCCUAGCUUCUGCUAAGAUCGAUUUGUCUCCUCCGAUCGAAAUUGAGCUGUGCCUCCACCAACGAGCUCGGGGCAAGCCGAUUGUCAAAGCCCAGAAGCCUCUCCACUAACCCGACGUCAGAGGAACCCGUAAGUGCCAUCACCGGAGCUCAAAGCUCUGGGUUUCAACGUUCUCCAAUAUCCAGCUCAAAGCAAGCUAAACCACCUUCAGAAAUAGAAUCAGUACCUCAAAAACCUCCAACCCUCAAAACCCCAAAAUCCGGGGCUGCUCCGAAACGUCACACGCGCCGCACGCGCCGCCGUUUGCGCGUGAAAGUUUGUAACUCCGCUGCCCACGACCGCCGGACUCUCAGAUUGACUUAACUAGGUAAUUUUCGACACCUCUCUUUGGUUGAGGCCUUUAUUCUAUUAUGAACUGGAAGCCCUAAUCGUGUGUUAUUCGAUUUGGAGGAAUUUGGAGGAAUUGAGGUUUGUGGAAUCUGCGUUUUUGGAGUUUUGGAGAAAGGAGAGAAACUGUUGGGUCAAUUCGAUUGAUAUCGUGAAAAGGAGGUUCGAAUGGUUGAUGGUGGUGAAGCACAGCCAUGUUAAGUUGACUGCAAGUUUGGAGAAGAAAAAUGGUAAGGGUUGGGUAUUUGGAUCUAUUUUGCCGUGUAUUGUUCAUACUUAGCGGAAUGGUGGUGUUUUGGGUUAUUUGAAAAGAUAUUGAUAUGUGUUUGGGAACUUGCCAUGUUAGUGAACAAAGAUGAGAGUGGUUGAAUGCUUGAAUGUAUGGAGAGAUUUGGGUUGUCAAUUAAAUUGGUUUGGCUGUUAUUAAUUUUGGAAAAAUGUUGUUUCACAAGAAUGAACAAAGAGAGACCGAUUUUGUGGGUUUUGACAAGUAAA